AGCCGGAGAGCGCUCAUGAUUUCUUGAGUGGAUUGUGCUCUGCCUAACCAUGACUACCAUAUUUUAAAAGCAGAACAACAGUAGGUAAUAAUUUAAUGGGACGAAAACAUUUAUAUUAUGUAUUUUUCCUAUUUUUGUAAAAUCAUCCUUCCCUUGGAAUAAAUGGCUAAACCAUUACAAAGGAAUAUGGAGUGAGUGUCUUUGAUCAAAAAGAAGAUGAAUUGUCUUAGGUUAAGUUGAACAUACAAAGUAAUACAAUGGAAUCAACAAGUACCGUCUAUUCGGAGUUAUACAUAAAAUGGCGAGAAAACUUUGCACCCUUCCUAAAACAAAAUAUUAAAAUCCUGACAUGACAACUUUUGUAAACAAAAUAUAUGACAUGGUCACAUGAUU
rnacentral:lncRNA from 1 species